UGGCAAUCAGACUAAGCGAUUAUAUAGUCUUCAUGACAAGCAUGAGGCCAAUUCUCGUGCAGUGUCAAAGGGUGCUUUAUGAUGAAGGUGCUGAAAUCCCGGGUAGCUAAAUUCAGUGAUAGCAGCAAAGUGCGCUUGGUUCACCAUCAUAAAAUCAUCCAAAAGAAGGCGCGUA